rnacentral:rRNA from 1 species
UACGUAGGGUGCGAGCGUUGUCCGGAUUUAUUGGGCGUAAAGAGCUCGUAGGCGGUUUGUCGCGUCGGCCGUGAAAUCUCCACGCUUAACGUGGAGCGUGCGGUCGAUACGGGCAGACUUGAGUUCGGUAGGGGAGACUGGAAUUCCUGGUGUAGCGGUGGAAUGCGCAGAUAUCAGGAGGAACACCGGUGGCGAAGGCGGGUCUCUGGGCAGUAACUGACGCUGGAGGAGCGAAAGCGUGGGGAGCGAACAGG